rnacentral:rRNA from 1 species
AGUGAACGCUGGCGGCAGGCCUAACACAUGCAAGUCGAGCGGCAGCGCGGGGGCAACCCUGGCGGCGAGCGGCGGACGGGUGAGGAAUUCGUCGGAAUCUGCCUUUUUGUGGGGGAUAACGUAGGGAAACUUACGCUAAUACCGCAUACGUCCUACGGGAGAAAGUGGGGGACCGCAAGGCCUCACGCAGAAAGAUGAGCCGACGACCGAUUAGCUAGUUGGUGGGGUAAAGGCCCACCAAGGCGACGAUCGGUAGCUGGUCUGAGAGGAUGAUCAGCCACACUGGGACUGAGACACGGCCCAGACUCCUACGGGAGGCAGCAGUGGGGAAUAUUGGACAAUGGGCGCAAGCCUGAUCCAGCCAUGCCGCGUGUGUGAAGAAGGCCUUCGGGUUGUAAAGCACGUUUGUCCGGAAAGAAAUCCCUGGAGCUAAUACCUUCGGGGGAUGACGGUACCGGAAGAAUAAGCACCGGCUAACUUCGUG